CUCCAAUUCCGAGUACUCUUUUCGAGAGUCUACGAUGGUCGCCAAGUAGGCCUUACAGCCGCCUUUGAUCAUCCUUUUCGCCCUCACCGUCGAUAUAGUGGCUGCAAAGCGUUUGCCCUUACACGCCCGGUAGACAAACUCCUCUUGGUUGGGUUCACGGAACGUGAUCACCCUUCUUUCACAAUCUAUAACCGCGUAAUACUUGGAGAGCCAAUUGAUCCCCAAGAUUACCUCGAAUCCCCACAUUUCUUUCAACACUAGAAGGUCGAUCGGCAUAAUCCAAUCGCC
rnacentral:lncRNA from 1 species